GUGGGGAAUAAUGGACAAUGGGCGAAAGCCUGAUCCAGCCAUGCCGCGUGUGUGAAGAAGGUCUUCGGAUUGUAAAGCACUUUAAGUUGGGAGGAAGGGUAGUAACCUAAUACGUUGCUACUUUGACGUUACCGACAGAAUAAGCACCGGCUAACUUCGUGCCAGCAGCCGCGGUAAUACGAAGGGUGCAAGCGUUAAUCGGAAUUACUGGGCGUAAAGCGCGCGUAGGUGGUUCGUUAAGUUGGAUGUGAAAGCCCCGGGCUCAACCUGGGAACUGCAUCCAAAACUGGCGAGCUAGAGUACGGUAGAGGGUGGUGGAAUUUCCUGUGUAGCGGUGAAAUGCGUAGAUAUAGGAAGGAACACCAGUGGCGAAGGCGACCACCUGGACUGAUACUGACACUGAGGUGCGAAAGCGUGGGGAGCAAACAGGAUUAGAAACCCUUGUAGUCC
rnacentral:rRNA from 1 species